CCUACGGGUGGCAGCAGUCGAGAAUCAUUCACAAUGGGGGAAACCCUGAUGGUGCGACGCCGCGUGGGGGAAUGAAGGUCUUCGGAUUGUAAACCCCUGUCAUGUGGGAGCAAAUUAAAAAGAUAGUACCACACGAGGAAGAGACGGCUAACUCUGUGCCAGCAGCCGCGGUAAUACAGAGGUUUCAAGCGUUGUUCGGAAUCACUGGGCGUAAAGCGUGCGGAGGCUGUUUCGUAAGUCGUGUGUGAAAGGCGCGGGCUCAACCCGCGGACGGCACAUGAUACUGCGAGACUAGAGUAAUGGAGGGGGAACCGGAAUUCUCGGUGUAGCAGUGAAAUGCGUAGAUAGCGAGAGGAACACUCGUGGCGAAGGCGGGUUCCUGGACAUUAACUGACGCUGAGGCACGAAGGCCAGGGGAGCGAAAGGGAUUAGAUACCCCAGUAGUC
rnacentral:rRNA from 1 species